GCCUAGCCAUAAACCUCAAUAGAUACAUACCCACUAUUCGCCUGAAUACUACAAGCAAAACGCUUGAAACUCAAAGGACUUGGCGGUGUCCCAUAUCAACCUAGAGGAGCCUGUCCUAUAAUCGAUACUCCACGUUAAACCUUACCAUCUUUGGCCACUCCAGCUUAUAUACCGCCGUCGCCAGCUUACCCUAUGAAGGCCCUACAGUAGGCAAAACCGCUCACACAAAAACGUCAGGUCAAGGUGUAGCUUAUAAAAUGGAAGAGAUGGGCUACAUUUUCUAAACUAGAAAAUACGAACAAUGUAAUGAAACCAUACAUUAGAAGGAGGAUUUAGCAGUAAAAUUAAGAGAAAGACAAUUUUAAAUUAAGCUCUGGGGCGCGC
rnacentral:rRNA from 1 species